AGUGAACGCUGGCGGCAGGCCUAACACAUGCAAGUCGAACGGCAGCGGGUCAGUAGCAAUACUGAUGCCGGCGAGUGGCGGACGGGUGAGGAAUACAUCGGAAUCUACCUUGUCGUGGGGGAUAACGUAGGGAAACUUACGCUAAUACCGCAUACGAACUAUGGUUGAAAGCGGCGGACCGCAAGGCGUCGCGCGAUUGGAUGAGCCGAUGUCCGAUUAGCUAGUUGGCGGGGUAAAGGCCCACCAAGGCGACGAUCGGUAGCUGGUCUGAGAGGAUGAUCAGCCACACUGGAACUGAGACACGGUCCAGACUCCUACGGGAGGCAGCAGUGGGGAAUAUUGGACAAUGGGCGCAAGCCUGAUCCAGCCAUGCCGCGUGUGUGAAGAAGGCC
rnacentral:rRNA from 1 species